GACGAACGCUGGCGGCGUGCUUAACACAUGCAAGUCGAACGGAAAGGCCCUGCUUUUGUGGGGUGCUCGAGUGGCGAACGGGUGAGUAACACGUGAGUAACCUGCCCUUGACUUUGGGAUAACUUCAGGAAACUGGGGCUAAUACCGGAUAGGAGCUCCUGCUGCAUGGUGGGGGUUGGAAAGUUUCGGCGGUUGGGGAUGGACUCGCGGCUUAUCAGCUUGUUGGUGGGGUAGUGGCUUACCAAGGCUUUGACGGGUAGCCGGCCUGAGAGGGUGACCGGCCACAUUGGGACUGAGAUACGGCCCAGACUCCUACGGGAGGCAGCAGUGGGGAAUAUUGCACAAUGGGCGGAAGCCUGAUGCAGCAACGCCGCGUGCGGGAUGACGGCCUUCGGGUGGUAAACCGCUUUCGCCUGUGACGAAGCGUGAGUGACGGUAAUGGGUAAAGAAGAACCGGCUAACUACGU
rnacentral:rRNA from 1 species